AGUGAACGCUGGCGGUAGGCCUAACACAUGCAAGUCGAACGGCAGCACAGUAAGAGCUUGCUCUUACGGGUGGCGAGUGGCGGACGGGUGAGGAAUACAUCGGAAUCUACUUUUUCGUGGGGGAUAACGUAGGGAAACUUACGCUAAUACCGCAUACGACCUACGGGUGAAAGCAGGGGAUCUUCGGACCUUGCGCGAUUGAAUGAGCCGAUGUCGGAUUAGCUAGUUGGCGGGGUAAAGGCCCACCGAGGCGACGAUCCGUAGCUGGUCUGAGAGGAUGAUCAGCCACACUGGAACUGAGACACGGUCCAGACUCCUACGGGAGGCAGCAGUGGGGAAUAUUGGACAAUGGGCGCAAGCCUGAUCUAGCCAUACCGCGUGGGUGAAGAAGGCCUUCGGGUUGUAAAGCCCUUUUGUUGGGAAAGAAAAGCAGCAGGUUAAUACCCCGCUGUUCUGACGGUACCCAAAGAAUAAGCACCGGCUAACUUCGUG
rnacentral:rRNA from 1 species